GCUUGGCUAGGUCAGUUGCUAGAACAUGUGACUCUUGAUCUCAGGGUUGUGAGUUCAAGUCCCAUGUUGGGUG
rnacentral:tRNA from 1 species